rnacentral:lncRNA from 1 species
AAUAAAGAGACCAGUGGGGCUGGAACAAAGGUGGCCAAGACCACUAGCUGCGCUCAGAGAGGUACAGGCACGCCAGGAACAGCCUCCCUAAGACAAUGCGACUGGAUACAGUACCCAAGCGUAAUGAAAGAUGUCAAUUCUUUGAAAUCCGUAGAAGUUUACCCAGCCGUGGGUGGUUUGGCACCAGGUUUCUCAUUCACUCCACAUCCACCAAGUCACUUCAUCGACCCAACCAUGGCAAGUGGCAGGGGCAGAGGGAUAUGCUAGUCUGGAGCCAGAAACUACAUCCUCCCCAGUCAGUGCUCCCCACAACACCAAGCUCCAGGAACCUAAGGCGCAGGCCUGCACCCGGCCUAGUCCAAUGCAGGUUGCUCUGGAGGAUCUUGCUCCACCCAAAGUCACUCAGGAACUGGAGACGCUUUCAUCAAUUGGUUCCACUAUACUCUGGAUUGCAGAGUCCUACAAAAGAUGCUUUGCAUUCAGCUGGUAGCUGAAGGAGGAGAGAAAGAAUGGAUGCUUGUACAGGAAGUAACGUUAUUC